GAUCAUGAUAACUAGUCGAAUCGACAGGCCUUGUGCCGGCGAUGGCUCAUUCAAAUUUCUUCCCUAUCAACUUUCGAUGUUUGGGUAUUGGCCAAACAUGGUGGCAACGGGUAACGGAGGGUUAGGGCUCGACCCCGGAGAAGGAGCCUGAGAAACGGCUACUACAUCCAAGGAAGGCAGCAGGCGCGCAAAUUACCCAAUCCCGACACGGGGAGGUAGUGACAAUAAAUACUGAUACAGGGCUCUUUUGGGUCUUGUAAUCGGAAUGAGUACAAUUUAAAUCCCUUAACGAGGAACAAUUGGAGGGCAAGUCUGGUGCCAGCAGCCGCGGUAAUUCCAGCUCCAAUAGCGUAUAUUAAAGUUGUUGUGGUUAAAAAGCUCGUAGUUGAACCUUGGGCCUGGCUGGCCGGUCCGCCUCACCGCGUGCACUGGUCUGGCCGGGCCUUUCCCUCUGCGGAACCCCAUGCCCUUCACUGGGUGUGGCGGGGAACCAGGACUUUUAC
rnacentral:rRNA from 1 species